rnacentral:rRNA from 1 species
UACGUAGGGGGCAAGCGUUGUCCGGAUUUAUUGGGCGUAAAGAGCUCGUAGGCGGUUCGGUAAGUCAGGUGUGAAAUCUCCACGCUCAACGUGGAGGCGCCACCUGAAACUGCCGUGACUAGAGUCCAGUGAGGGGAGUGUGGAAUUCCCGGAUGUAGCGGUGAAAUGCGCAGAUAUCGGGAGGAACACCGAGCGGCGAAGGCGGCACUCUGGGCUGGAACGUGACGCU